UACGUAGGUGGCAAGCGUUGUCCGGAUUUACUGGGCGUAAAGAGCGCGCAGGCGGUCGUUCAAGUCGAGUGUGAAAGCCCCCGGCUCAACUGGGGAGGGUCACUCGAUACUGAUCGACUCGAAGGCAGGAGAGGGUAGUGGAAUUCCCGGUGUAGUGGUGAAAUGCGUAGAUAUCGGGAGGAACACCAGUGGCGAAGGCGACUACCUGGCCUGUUCUUGACGCUGAGGCGCGAAAGCUAGGGGAGCGAACAGG
rnacentral:rRNA from 1 species